rnacentral:piRNA from 1 species
CUGUCAACUACAGAACCCUGUUGAAAUGG